rnacentral:rRNA from 1 species
GGAAUUUUGGACAAUGGGGGCAACCCUGAUCCAGCAAUGCCGCGUGAGUGAAGAAGGCCUUCGGGUUGUAAAGCUCUUUUGUCAGGGAAGAAAAGGUCGUGGCUAAUAUCCACGGCUCAUGACGGUACCUGAAGAAUAAGCACCGGCUAACUACGUGCCAGCAGCCGCGGUAAUACGUAGGGUGCAAGCGUUAAUCGGAAUUACUGGGCGUAAAGCGUGCGCAGGCGGUUUUGUAAGUCUGUUGUGAAAUCCCCGGGCUCAACCUGGGAAUGGCAAUGGAGACUGCAAGGCUAGAGUUUGGCAGAGGGGGGUAGAAUUCCACGUGUAGCAGUGAAAUGCGUAGAUAUGUGGAGGAACACCGAUGGCGAAGGCAGCCCCCUGGGUCAAAACUGACGCUCAUGCACGAAAGCGUGGGGAGCAAACAGGAUUAGAUACCCUUG